GACGUAGGAGGCGAGCGUUAUCCGGAUUCACUGGGCGUAAAGCGCAUGUAGGCGGUUGCACAAGUCCGUUGUUAAAGCCCCUGGCUCAACUGGGGGAGGUCAAUGGAGACUGUGCGACUUGAGGGCAGUAGAGGCACGUGGAACUCCCGGUGUAGCGGUGGAAUGCGUAGAGAUCGGGAAGAACACCAACGGCGAAAGCACUCUGCUGGGCCGACACUGACACUGAGAGACGAAAGCUAGGGGAGCAAAUGGG
rnacentral:rRNA from 1 species